GACGAACGCUGGCGGCGUGCCUAACACAUGCAAGUCAGGGAGAAGGAGGUAGCAAUACUUCCGGAAACCGGCGCACGGGUGAGUAACACGUAGGUAACCUGCCCUCAGCUCUGGGAUAAGCCUGGGAAACCGGGUCUAAUACUGGAUAUGACUCCAUGACGCAUGUUGUGGGGUGGAAAGCCUUGUGCGGCUGAGGAUGGGCCCGCGGCCUAUCAGCUUGUUGGUGGGGUGAUGGCCUACCAAGGCGACGACGGGUAGCCGGCCUGAGAGGGCGACCGGCCACACUGGGACUGAGACACGGCCCAGACUCCUACGGGAGGCAGCAGUGGGGAAUCUUGCGCAAUGGGCGAAAGCCUGACGCAGCGACGCCGCGUGAGGGAUGACGGCCU
rnacentral:rRNA from 1 species